AAUAUUGGACAAUGGGCGAAAGCCUGAUCCAGCCAUGCCGCGUGUGUGAAGAAGGUCUUCGGAUUGUAAAGCACUUUAAGUUGGGAGGAAGGGGUUGAAGCUACUACCUUCAAUCUUUGACGUUACCACCACAAUAAGCACCGGCUUACUUCGUGCCAGCAGCCGCGGUAAUACGAAGGGUGCAAGCGUUAAUCGGAAUUACUGGGCGUAAAGCGUGCGUAGGUGGUUCAGUAAGAUGGAAGUGAAAUCCCCGGGCUUAACCUGGGAACUGCUUUCAUAACUGCUGAGCUAGAGUACGGUAGAGGGUAGUGGAAUUUCCUGUGUAGCGGUGAAAUGCGUAGAUAUAGGAAGGAACAUCAGUGGCGAAGGCGACUACCUGGACUGAUACUGACACUGAGGUGCGAAAGCGUGGGGAGCAAACAGG
rnacentral:rRNA from 1 species